rnacentral:rRNA from 1 species
CCUACGGGUGGCAGCAGUGAGGAAUAUUGGUCAAUGGACGCAAGUCUGAACCAGCCAUGCCGCGUGCAGGAAGACGGCUCUAUGAGUUGUAAACUGCUUUUGUACGAGGGUAAAUCCCGAUACGUAUAUCGGGUUGAAAGUAUCGUACGAAUAAAGAUCGGCUAACUCAGUUCCAGCAGCCGCGGUAAUACGGAGGAUUCAGGCGUUGUCCGGAUUUAUUGGGUUUAAAGGGUGCGUAGGCGGUUCGUUAAGUUAGAGGUGAAAUCCCGGGGCUCAACUCCGGCACUGCCUCUGAUACUGGCGGGCUAGAGUUUAGUUGAGGGAGGUGGAAUGUAAGGUGUAGCGGUGAAAUGCAUAGAGAUAAUACAGAACACCGAUUGCGAAGGCAGCUUACCAAACUACGACUGACGUUGAGGCACGAAAGCGUGGGGAGCAAACAGGAUUAGAUACCCUUGUAGUC